CCUCAAGAUGAGAUUUCCCAAUUAGUAAGACCCCUUGAAGACGACGAGGUAGAUAGGUUGGAGGUGGAAGUGCAGCAAUGCAUGGAGCUGACCAAUACUAAUCGGUCGAGGGCUUAUCCUAUAA
rnacentral:rRNA from 1 species